GUGAUUCCGUGAGUAGUGGCGAGCGAAAGCGGAGGAGGCUAAACCGUGUGUGUGUUCAAGCCGGCAGGUGUUGCAUGUGCGGGGUUGUGGGGGCCUUGUGGUUCUGCUGCCGCAGGAUUGGCCAGUGAGAAAUGUUGCGUGAAGGUGAAGCGUCUGGGAAGGCGUACCGGAGUGGGUGAGAGUCCUGUAACUGUAAGCGUGGCACUGGUGUGGGGUUGCCCCGAGUAGCGUGGGACUCGUGGAAUUUCGCGUGAAUCUGGCGGGACCACCCGUCAAGCCUAAAUACUCCUUGGUGACCGAUAGUGGAUGAGUACCGUGAGGGAAGGGUGAAAAGCACCCCGACGAGGGGAGUG
rnacentral:rRNA from 1 species